GUACACUCCUACGGGAGGCAGCAGUGGGGAAUAUUGGACAAUGGGCGCAAGCCUGAUCCAGCCAUGCCGCGUGAGUGAUGAAGGCCCUAGGGUUGUAAAGCUCUUUCACCGGUGAAGAUAAUGACGGUAACCGGAGAAGAAGCCCCGGCUAACUUCGUGCCAGCAGCCGCGGUAAUACGAAGGGGGCUAGCGUUGUUCGGAUUUACUGGGCGUAAAGCGCACGUAGGCGGACUAUUAAGUCAGGGGUGAAAUCCCGGGGCUCAACCCCGGAACUGCCUUUGAUACUGGUAGUCUUGAGUUCGAGAGAGGUGAGUGGAAUUCCGAGUGUAGAGGUGAAAUUCGUAGAUAUUCGGAGGAACACCAGUGGCGAAGGCGGCUCACUGGCUCGGUACUGACGCUGAGGUGCGAAAGCGUGGGGAGCAAACAGGAUUAGAAACCCCAGUAGUCCCAUGAU
rnacentral:rRNA from 1 species